UGCAGAGUGAAUUAUGAAAUGCUGAGUCCCCUGAGUCUCUUACUUAGAAGAACAUAUGGCUGUAGUAAAAAUAUGCAACUGUGUAACUUCAUGACAUCAGUGUUUAAAUUAUAUACAAUUAAAACGGGUUAGAUCAACUGUGUUCUCUCCAGUAAUCACCAUAAUUUACUCACAUUUUGUCUAGCAAUGUGUAUUAAACUAAGGCAAUUAAAAAAAACGUUUAGAGGUUAGACACAAAAGCAGUGAUACAGCCUGGAACACUGGAUUAUUGCUCUACUUGCAACCCUUCAAUAUAUUACAUCUAUUUGCUUUAAAAAUAGUGACACCUAAGAAGAGACACUCAGCACUCAGGGGGAAGAGCCCUCAGGGUUCCAACUGAACAUGCAACACUGAGCAAGCUUUCCUUCAAGUAUUCCCCACUGUCCACAAGAAGCCACACUUGGACACCAGCAGGCACUUUUCAAGGGGUAUGCUCUGCAUCCCAAAGGCAUCAGCAUUAGAGUGUGCAUUAUCCCCUUGGAAAACAGUGGAAUAUGAGCAUCUUACAGAGCUCCAGAGAGGUCCACACAGCUAAAUAAAGACCAAGGAGCCCCAGCAGGAAUUCCUUCUACAAGUCUGUUAAAGGUAGAGACUGCAGAGCAGUGACAUGUGGAGAAAAGGCACAAGAUCUGCACCAGCCCCAGAAAAAAUUCCGACACCAAGGUCCUGAUGUGACAAAAAGAGUCCAACAGAUGCUCACGAUUCCCUGUACAGCCCCUCCACUUGCCAUCUUCAGCAGGACUAGGCUCUUCUUCAUCAGAAAAUAACUUCCUAAAAAUAUGAAUUUUCAUGGGAAUCACAUCUUUCCAAAGCCUUACCCAAGUUCUGAUCUGCAAGUGGCUAUGAAGGGGUCAAAUAAAAAUAUUUCACAGUUUGACAUCAUGCAUAAAGCUGCAACCAGACUAUCAAAAAGCAGGCCCAGUGCACCUCACUUCAAGUCCUGACACAGGAUGCCAGUCCACUGUCACCCUACAGGGCAGUGUAGACAAACAAGAACAAACAAGAACAUCCAAACUUUAACUUGGUGAGCAACAGAGCGUGCCAUCCGUGUCUGCUGACAGUCCUCGUGGUAUUAAUACCUGCCCAACACAAGAUCAGACAAAACUGAUCACCUCUAUUCACAUCACUUCCUUUUCAACCCUCAAACAGCUUCUGUUGACAAAGAGAAUUACUAAUUCCAUGGCAUAAAAGCCAGUAUGGUCAUGCCACACUUUUUUUUUGGCCAAAAACCAAAAGGAAGGUCUUACACUGCUGCUUACAGGGACUGUAUAAAAAUGAUGGAAACUCUCUAACAUAUUGCAAAGUGCCAGACAUGCUACCCCAAUUCUAAUAAUCCAGCCCUAACACACACCUACAUACAUCCAAAAUGCCCCCCCCCUUU